AACGACACCUUAACCUGCUAAAUAGCCCAUAUUGCUUUGGCAGUACGCCGGAUUCUUAGAGGGACUAUCGGCUCAAUCCGAUGGAAGUUUGAGGCAAUAACAGGUUAACCGUCAUAGGCCUGUAAUAGUAGAGCCUCAUAAUCUGCUAGUUGCUGUCUUUACCUCUCUGAGGGAAGCCCCUCGAUAUCGGGGAGAGGGG
rnacentral:rRNA from 1 species